rnacentral:rRNA from 1 species
CCCCAGACUCCUACGGGAGGCAGCAGUGGGGAAUAUUGCACAAUGGGGGAAACCCUGAUGCAGCGACGCCGCGUGAGCGAUGAAGUAUUUCGGUAUGUAAAGCUCUAUCAGCAGGGAAGAAAGUGACGGUACCUGACUAAGAAGCCCCGGCUAACUACGUGCCAGCAGCCGCGGUAAUACGUAGGGGGCAAGCGUUAUCCGGAUUUACUGGGUGUAAAGGGAGCGUAGACGGCAUGGCAAGUCAGAUGUGAAAGCCCGGGGCUCAACCCCGGGACUGCAUUUGAAACUGUCAGGCUGGAGUGCAGGAGAGGUAAGUGGAAUUCCUAGUGUAGCGGUGAAAUGCGUAGAUAUUAGGAGGAACACCAGUGGCGAAGGCGGCUUACUGGACUGUAACUGACGUUGAGGCUCGAAAGCGUGGGGAGCAAACAGGAUUAGAUACCCGUGUA